CUCAACUUUAUUAGAAGAGACGCAUUUAUUAGAUAAAAAGCCAAUGCAUGCUUUUACAGUAUGAAAAUUGGUGUUUUAUAAUAACUAAGCAAAUCGCAGAGUGAAAACAGGCGAUAAAUCAUUCAAGUUUCUGACCUAUCAGCUUUUGACGGUAUGGUAUUGGCUUACCGUGGCAGUGACGGUUAACGGGGAACUAGGGUUUGAUUCCGGAGAGGGAGCCUGAGAAACGGCUACCACAUCUAAGGGAGGCAGCAGGCGCGCAAAUUACCCAAUUCUAACAGUUUGAGAGAGGUAGUAACAAGAAAUAACAAUACAGAGCAAUUAAAAUGCCUUGAAAUUGCAAUGAUAGAAAUUUAAACCCUUUUUAAAGUAUCAAUUGGAGGGCAAGACUGGUGCCAGCAGCCGCGGUAAUACCAGCUCCAAUAGCGUAUAUUAAAAUUGUUGCAGUUAAAAAGCUCGUAGUUGAUGUUCUGUUAAAAGUAACCGGUCUGCUUUUAAUAAAAGUGGUAUCUUGGUGUGUAUUUAGCAAUGAUGUCCUUUGAAGUGUUUUUUAUUUAAUUGUAAUAAAGCAUAUUCAGGACUUUUACUUUGAGAAAAUUAGAGUGUUUCUAGCAGGCCGACGCUUUGAAUACUGCAGCA
rnacentral:rRNA from 1 species